rnacentral:rRNA from 1 species
CAGUCGCCGCGGUAAUACGAAGGGGGCUAGCGUUGUUCGGAAUUACUGGGCGUAAAGCGCACGUAGGCGGAUAUUUAAGUCAGGGGUGAAAUCCCAGAGCUCAACUCUGGAACUGCCUUUGAUACUGGGUAUCUUGAGUAUGGAAGAGGUGAGUGGAAUUCCGAGUGUAGAGGUGAAAUUCGUAGAUAUUCGGAGGAACACCAGUGGCGAAGGCGGCUCACUGGUCCAUUACUGACGCUGAGGUGCGAAAGCGUGGGGAGCGAACAGGAUUAGAUACCCCAGUAGUCCCUGUCUCUUAUAC